GCCUGUAAGACUGGGAUAACUUCGGGAAACCGAAGCUAAUACCGGAUAGGAUCUUCUCCUUCAUGGGAGAUGAUUGAAAGAUGGUUUCGGCUAUCACUUACAGAUGGGCCCGCGGUGCAUUAGCUAGUUGGUGAGGUAACGGCUCACCAAGGCAACGAUGCAUAGCCGACCUGAGAGGGUGAUCGGCCACACUGGGACUGAGACACGGCCCAGACUCCUACGGGAGGCAGCAGUAGGGAAUCUUCCGCAAUGGACGAAAGUCUGACGGAGCAACGCCGCGUGAGUGAUGAAGGCUUUCGGGUCGUAAAACUCUGUUGUUAGGGAAGAACAAGUACGAGAGUAACUGCUCGUACCUUGACGGUACCUAACCAGAAAGCCACGGCUAACUACGUGCCAGCAGCCGCGGUAAUACGUAGGUGGCAAGCGUUAUCCGGAAUUAUUGGGCGUAAAGCGCGCGCAGGCGGUUUCUUAAGUCUGAUGUGAAAGCCCAC
rnacentral:rRNA from 2 species